UACGUAGGGCGCAAGCGUUAUCCGGAAUUAUUGGGCGUAAAGAGCUCGUAGGCGGUUUGUCGCGUCUGCCGUGAAAGUCCGGGGCUCAACUCCGGAUCUGCGGUGGGUACGGGCAGACUAGAGUGAUGUAGGGGAGACUGGAAUUCCUGGUGUAGCGGUGAAAUGCGCAGAUAUCAGGAGGAACACCGAUGGCGAAGGCGGUUCUCUGGGCAUUACCUGACGCUGAGGAGCGAAAGUGUGGGGAGCGAACAGG
rnacentral:rRNA from 1 species